rnacentral:tRNA from 1 species
CGCGGGGUGGAGCAGCUCGGUAGCUCGGUGGGCUCAUAACCCACAGGUCGCAGGUUCAAAUCCUGUCCCCGCUA